GGGGGGCAUGUGAUUUUAGGAGAGGCAUUUACACAUCAAGCACAAACCAAGAGAAAGGAUGAGGCUAUCACUGGCUCGGCCAGCAUUUCUUGCUGCGUUUACCCAGUGGGCAGUUAAGAAUCAACCACGUUGCUCUAGGUCUGGAGUCCCAUGCAGACCAGACCAGAUCGCAGUGAUCAAUGCCAAAGCCCCAUUGCCUGUGGAGAGGGUGAUGUUUGAUUUCCCUGUCCAGCUGCAAUUCAUGUGGUGAAGGUGCUCCCACAAUGUGGUUGGGUGGACAUUCAGAUGGUAAUCUCAGUAAUUGUAACGCCAAACUGUGACAAAAUUACUCAAUUCAUCAGGAGCUGGAUAUUCACAUUGUGUGGUGCUAGACGGUGAAGAUUUGCAGACUGAAAUCUCAAAAUCAUGUGCAGAUUGUGAUUAAGUUGCCUAGUGCUUAAAGAACCAAAGAUGGAGAAUGACUCUGCCAAAAUCCUGCAACACUCUCCCUCCCAGCAUUGUCAGUCUAUCUAUGCCAAAUGGACUGCGAAUGGUUCAAGACAGCAGCUCACUACCAUCUUCUCAAGGGUAACUGGAGAUAGGGAAUAAAUGCUGGCUGAGCCAGUGAUGCCCAUAUCCUGGAAACGGUUGCUAUCUCUAGUUGCUGAAACCCAGUUGAUGUUACUGCAGGAUGAUGAGGGAUGCUGAGUGCAUCCUCCAGGAGGCAGCACCAUCACAUUACCCCUGCCUACACCCACACAGUAACACCGCAACAUCACUGGAACAAAAGGCAGUGAAGCCAAAGGAGGACUUAGAUAUAGUUCUUCGAGGUAGAGUCAUGAAAGGGGAUUGGAACACAGCAGGAAC